UACGGAGGAUCCAAGCGUUAUCCGGAUUUAUUGGGUUUAAAGGGUGCGUAGGCGGGCCCUUAAGUCAGUGGUGAAAGUUUGCAGCUUAACUGUAAAAUUGCCAUUGAAACUGAGGGUCUUGAGUGUAAAUAAGGUAGGCGGAAUGUGUUGUGUAGCGGUGAAAUGCUUAGAUAUAACACAGAACACCAAUUGCGAAGGCAGCUUACUGGGAUACAACUGACGCUGAGGCACGAAAGCGUGGGGAUCAAAC
rnacentral:rRNA from 2 species